rnacentral:rRNA from 1 species
UACGUAGGGGGCAAGCGUUGUCCGGAUUUAUUGGGCGUAAAGAGCGUGUAGGCGGGUUGUUAAGUCGAACGUGAAAUCCCCGGGCUCAACCCGGGAACUGCGUCCGAUACUGGCAGGCUUGAAUCCGGGAGAGGGAUGUGGAAUUCCAGGUGUAGCGGUGAAAUGCGUAGAUAUCUGGAGGAACACCGGUGGCGAAGGCGGCAUCCUGGACCGGUAUUGACGCUGAGGCGCGAAAGCCAGGGGAGCAAACGGG